rnacentral:rRNA from 1 species
CAAUAGCGUAUAUUAAAGUUGUUGCAGUUAAAAAGCUCGUAGUUGGAUUUCUGGUGGGAGCGAUCGGUCUGGCGCUUAGCGCGAGUACUUGCAUCGUCUCCGGCCAUCCUUGGGGAGAGUCUGUCUGGCAUUAGGUUGUCGGGCAGAGGAUCCUCAUCGUUUACUGUGAAAAAAUUAGAGUGUUCAAAGCAGGCUUAUGCCGUUGAAUAUAUUAGCAUGGAAUAAUAAGAUAGGACUUUGGUACUAUUUUGUUGGUUUGCGCACCAAAGUAAUGAUUAAUAGGGACAGUUGGGGGUAUUCGUAUUCCGUUGUCAGAGGUGAAAUGCUUGGAUUUACGGAAGACGAACUACUGCGAAAGCAUUUACCAAGGAUGUUUUCAUUAA